GACGUAGGGCGCGAGCGUUGUCCGGAUUUACUGGGCGUAAAGAGCGCGCAGGCGGUCGUUCAAGUCGAGUGUGAAAGCCCCCGGCUCAACUGGGGAGGGUCAUUCGAUACUGAUCGACUCGAAGGCAGGAGAGGGUAGUGGAAUUCCCGGUGUAGUGGUGAAAUGCGUAGAUAUCGGGAGGAACACCAGUGGCGAAGGCGACUACCUGGCCUGUUCUUGACGCUGAGGCGCGAAAGCUAGGGGAGCAAACGGG
rnacentral:rRNA from 1 species